rnacentral:rRNA from 1 species
UUUAAUGAGAGUUUGAUCCUGGCUCAGGACGAACGCUGGCGGCGUGCCUAAUACAUGCAAGUAGAACGCUGAGGUUGGUGUUUACACUAGACUGAUGAGUUGCGAACGGGUGAGUAACGCGUAGGUAACCUGCCUCAUAGCGGGGGAUAACUAUUGGAAACGAUAGCUAAUACCGCAUAAGAGUAAUUAACACAUGUUAGUUAUUUAAAAGGAGCAAUUGCUUCACUGUGAGAUGGACCUGCGUUGUAUUAGCUAGUUGGUGAGGUAAAGGCUCACCAAGGCGACGAUACAUAGCCGACC